ensembl:snRNA U6 U6 spliceosomal RNA
UUGCUAUGGAGGUUCCAGCACCUGCCUAUAGCACCUAUACUGAAACUGUAAUGAUACAGACAAAAUUAGCAUGACCUCCGCGCAAGGGUGACAUGAAAGGUCGUGAAACAUUCUAUAUUUUU